ACCUCAUGAAAGACCUAGGUCGUGAGAUGUCCACGACAUCCAAAUUCUCACUACCUUGUCUUUCAUGCGGAC
rfam:Danaus plexippus plexippus isolate F-2 unplaced genomic scaffold DPSCF300005, whole genome shotgun sequence.